rnacentral:rRNA from 1 species
UACGUAGGUGGCAAGCGUUGUCCGGAUUUAUUGGGUUUAAAGGGUGCGUAGGCGGUCUUUUAAGUCAGUGCUGAAAUAUCCCGGCUUAACCGGGAGGGUGGCAUUGAUACUGAAGGACUUGAGUAAAGUUGAGGUAGGCGGAAUUGACGGUGUAGCGGUGAAAUGCUUAGAUAUCGUCAAGAACACCGAUAGUGUAGACAGCUUACUAGCUUUAACUGACGCUGAGGCACGAAAGUGUGGGGGAUCAAACAGG